rnacentral:rRNA from 1 species
UGCCAUAUCAAAUAAGCGGAGGAAAAGAAACUAACAAGGAUUCCCCUAGUAACGGCGAGUGAAGCGGGAAGAGCUCAAAUUUGAAAUCUGGCAGUCUUCGAUUGUCCGAGUUGUAAUCUAUAGAGGCGUUUUCCGUGCCGGACCGUGUCCAAGUCUCCUGGAAAGGAGUAUCAAAGAGGGUGAUAAUCCCGUACUUAACACGACCACCGGUGCUCUGUGAUACGUCUUCUACGAGUCGAGUUGUUUGGGAAUGCAGCUCAAAAUGGGUGGUGAAUUCCAUCUAAAGCUAAAUAUUGGCGAGAGACCGAUAGCGAACAAGUACCGUGAGGGAAAGAUGAAAAGCACUUUGGAAAGAGAGUUAAACAGUACGUGAAAUUGUUGAAAGGGAAACGAUUGAAGUCAGUCGUGUUCUUUGGAUUCAGCCAGUUCUGCUGGUCUACUUCCUUUGAACGGGUCAACAUCAGUUUUGUCCGGUGGAUAAAGGCAGUAGGAAUGUAGCUUCUCCGGAAGUGUUAUAGCCUAUUGUCACAUACACUGGGUGAGACUGAGGACUGCAGCUCGCCUUUAUGGCCGACCUUCGGGUACGUUCGAGCUUAGGAUGUUGACAUAAUGGCUUUAAACGACCCGUCUUGAAACCACG